rnacentral:rRNA from 1 species
AUUGAACGCUGGCGGCAUGCCUAGCACAUGCAAGUCGAACGGCAGCACGGUCUAGUUUACUAGAUGGGUGGCGAGUGGCGGACGGGUGAGUAAUGCGCAGGAAUAUGCCUUAAAGAGGGGGAUAACUUGGGGAAACUCAAGCUAAUACCGCAUAAUCUCUAUGGAGAAAAGCUGGGGACCUUCGGGCCUGGCGCUUUAAGAUUAGCCUGCGUCCGAUUAGCUAGUUGGUAAGGUAAAGGCCUACCAAGGCGACGAUCGGUAGCUGGUCUGAGAGGAUGACCAGCCACAGUGGAACUGAGACACGGUCCAGCCUCCUACGGGAGGCAGCAGUGGGGAAUACUGGACAAUGGGGGCAACCCUGAUCCAGCAAUGCCGCGUGUGUGAAGAAGGCCUGAGGGUUGUAAAGCACUUUCAGUGGGGAGGAGGAUUGCUAGGUUAAGAGUUAGGUAAUUGGACGUUACCCACAGAAGAAGCACCGGCUAACUCCGUGCCAGCCGCCGUAACAC